GUUAUAGGGUCAAGCGAAUAAGUGCAUGUGGUGGAUGCCUUGGCGAUCACAGGCGAUGAAGGACGUAGUAGCUUGCGAAAAGCUGCGGGGAGCUGGCAAACGAGCUUUGAUCCGCAGAUGUCCGAAUGGGGAAACCCGGCCCGUAUGGGUCAUCCCUUGCUGAAUACAUAGGCAAGGGAGGCGAACGCAGUGAACUGAAACAUCUAAGUAGCUGCAGGAAAAGAAAUCAACCGAGAUUCCCAGAGUAGUGGCGAGCGAAAUGGGAACAGCCUUGUACUCUUUAGCAGUAUUGUUAGCGGAACGGAAUGGAAAGUCCGGCCAUAGUGGGUGAUAGCCCCGUACGCGAAAACAGUAUUGUGGAACUAGGUGUACGACAAGUAGGGCGGGACACGUGAAAUCCUGUCUGAAGAUGGGGGGACCAUCCUCCAAGGCUAAAUACUCGUGAUCGACCGAUAGUGAACCAGUACCGUGAGGGAAAGGCGAAAAGAACCCCGGGAGGGGAGUGAAAUAGAUCCUGAAACCGCAUGCAUACAAACAGUCGGAGCCUGGAAACGGGUGACGGCGUACCUUUUGUAUAAUGGGUCAGCGACUUACAUUCAGUGGCAAGCUUAACCGAUUAGGGAAGGCGUAGCGAAAGCGAGUCCGAAUAGGGCGUUCAGUCGCUGGGUGUAGACCCGAAACCAAGUGAUCUAUCCAUGGCCAGGUUGAAGGUGCGGUAACACGUACUGGAGGACCGAACCCACUAACGUUGAAAAGUUAGGGGAUGAGCUGUGGAUAGGGGUGAAAGGCUAAACAAACUUGGAAAUAGCUGGUUCUCUCCGAAAACUAUUUAGGUAGUGCCUCGUGUCUCACCUUCGGGGGUAGAGCACUGUCAUGGUUGGGGGGUCUAUUGCUGAUUACCCCGCCAUAGCAAACUCCGAAUACCGAAGAGUGCAAUCACGGGAGACAGACAUCGGGUGCUAACGUCCGGUGUCAAGAGGGAAACAACCCAGACCGCCAGCUAAGGUCCCUAAGAUUGGCUAAGUGGGAAACGAAGUGGGAAGGCUAAAACAGUCAGGAGGUUGGCUUAGAAGCAGCCACCCUUUAAAGAAAGCGUAAUAGCUCACUGAUCGAGUCGUCCUGCGCGGAAGAUGUAACGGGGCUAAGCCAGUCACCGAAGCUGCGGAUGCACGUAAGUGCAUGGUAGGAGAGCGUUCUGUAAGCCUGUGAAGGUGUCUUGUAAAGGAUGCUGGAGGUAUCAGAAGUGCGAAUGCUGACAUGAGUAGCGAUAAAGGGGGUGAAAGGCCCCCUCGCCGUAAGCCCAAGGUUUCCUACGCAACGUUCAUCGGCGUAGGGUGAGUCGGCCCCUAAGGCGAGGCAGAGAUGCGUAGCUGAUGGGAAGCAGGUUAAUAUUCCUGCACCGUCGUAUGAUGCGAUGGGGGACGGAUCGCGGAAGGUUGUCCGGGUGUUGGAAGUCCCGGUCCCUACAUUGGAGAUGGCACUUAGGCAAAUCCGGGUGCGUGAUUCAAGGGUGUGGGGCGAGCGACGUUAGGUCGCGAAGCAAUUGGAAGUGGUUCCAAGAAAAGCCUCUAAGCUUCAGUCAUACGAGACCGUACCGCAAACCGACACAGGUGGGCGAGAUGAGUAUUCUAAGGCGCUUGAGAGAACUCGGGAGAAGGAACUCGGCAAAUUGGUACCGUAACUUCGGGAUAAGGUACGCCCUUGUAGUUUGACUGGCUCGCGCCAGAAGGAUGAAGGGGUUGCAAUAAAAUGGUGGCUGCGACUGUUUAAUAAAAACACAGCACUCUGCAAACACGAAAGUGGACGUAUAGGGUGUGACGCCUGCCCGGUGCCGGAAGAUUAAAUGAUGGGGUGCAAGCUCUUGAUUGAAGUCCCGGUAAACGGCGGCCGUAACUAUAACGGUCCUAAGGUAGCGAAAUUCCUUGUCGGGUAAGUUCCGACCUGCACGAAUGGCGUAACGAUGGCCACACUGUCUCCUCCCGAGACUCAGCGAAGUUGAAGUGUUUGUGAUGAUGCAAUCUCCCCGCGGCUAGACGGAAAGACCCCAUGAACCUUUACUGUAGCUUUGCAUUGGACUUUGAACCGAUCUGUGUAGGAUAGGUGGGAGGCUUUGAAACCGGGACGCUAGUUUCGGUGGAGCCGACCUUGAAAUACCACCCUGGUUUGUUUGAGGUUCUAACCUUGGCCCGUGAAUCCGGGUCGGGGACAGUGCAUGGUAGGCAGUUUGACUGGGGCGGUCUCCUCCCAAAGUGUAACGGAGGAGUUCGAAGGUACGCUUGGUACGGUCGGACAUCGUACCUAAAGUGCAAUGGCAAAAGCGUGCUUAACUGCGAGACCGACAAGUCGAGCAGGUGCGAAAGCAGGACAUAGUGAUCCGGUGGUUCUGUAUGGAAGGGCCAUCGCUCAACGGAUAAAAGGUACUCUGGGGAUAACAGGCUGAUACCGCCCAAGAGUUCAUAUCGACGGCGGUGUUUGGCACCUCGAUGUCGGCUCAUCUCAUCCUGGGGCUGUAGCCGGUCCCAAGGGUAUGGCUGUUCGCCAUUUAAAGAGGUACGUGAGCUGGGUUUAAAACGUCGUGAGACAGUUUGGUCCCUAUCUGCCGUGGGCGUUGGAAUCUUGACGGGGGCUGCUCCUAGUACGAGAGGACCGGAGUGGACGUACCGCUGGUGUACCUGUUGUCUCGCCAGAGGCAUCGCAGGGUAGCUAUGUACGGAAGAGAUAACCGCUGAAAGCAUCUAAGCGGGAAACUCGCCUGAAGAUGAGGAUUCCCUGGAGACUUGAUCUCCCUGAAGGGUCGUUCGAGACCAGGACGUUGAUAGGCUGGGUGUGGAAGCGCAGUAAUGUGUUCAGCUAACCAGUACUAAUUGCCCGUGCGGCUUGAUCCUAUAACC
rnacentral:rRNA from 2 species